AUAAUACUCCCUCUGUUCAAAAAUACUUGUCAUCAAGAUGAAUAAGGGGAUGUAACUAGACGUAUUUUAGUUUUAAAUACAUCUUUUUUUAUUCAUUUUGAUGACAAGUAUUUUCAGAUGGAAGGAGUACUCU
rfam:Triticum aestivum genome assembly, contig: Triticum_aestivum_CS42_TGACv1_scaffold_288181_4AL